UCUACCCGAAAACCUCCACAGAGACUACCUCCAUUGACUAUACUGAAAUGAGUUCCAUCCAUGACUUAUAUUUGGACCAAAACUGACGCCCAAAGAAACAAAAAGAAAAAAAAACCCUCUUUAACAACAGAAGUCAAAUUUCUAAGAGCAUCUUCCCGACAGUGAAAAGACAAAUGAAAGCAAUAAUUCCAUCCUCAAGAGUCCAAGCACACAGAAAUGUAAUUUAUCACACAUAAAUAAGGGGCAAGUUUAACCAAUGAAAGCCCUUUCAAACAUGCUUUUUGACCAAGUAAAGCUUUCAACCAAAAUAAUCAUAAGUAAACCUAGAUAUUUCUAACGGUUCUUUCCUGCCAAGUGAAACCACAAAAUCCAGAGUCGCAAAUUACUACCAGCUUCAGGUGUUUGAACUUUGAAGCCUUAUUGGAGAUCCAAUGCGUGAAAUGAUAAGCAAAAGGAAAUAACGGCACGGUCUCAAAGUUUGAUCAUGCAACAUGAUAAAGUGUAUGAUUAGCAGGUGGUGGGAAUAAAGGCAACAUGCUAUGGGGAUGUUUCAUUGCAAACUAAGGAAAAUAACUUAUGUUUCUUCUUGGUGCAGUAAAGAGAACACCUCAAAUUUGAUUGAAGCUAACCUCGAGAUGAUCAGAAGUUAUAAACAAAUAAAAGAAGGAUUUAGUCUGAGUCAUUUUCAAGACUUUAUCAACUUUAAAAAAUGAAAAGAAGUAAUGCUCAAAUUCCAAUACUGAACUAAUGAAACAAAUACAGUUUACAAUUUGAUGCAUAACAUAGAUUGAACUAUUGAAAGGGCUUGAACAAAGAAUGUAACAACUAAGUAAACAUAGUGGAGAAUCACAUAAUGUUGGAAUCCCUAUAAUUAAGGAUAGAAAUCUGAUGGUAUUGGAAUCCCUAUAAUUAAGGAUAGAAAUCUGUUGUGAUCUCUUGUAAAUAGAAACUAAUCUCAGUUACUGAUUCUUAGGAAAUUACGAUAUCAAUUACUGAUUCUUAGGGAUUAGGAUUUAUUUCCUUUAAAAUGAUUAUUUUUCUCUUUAUAAAGCUGUAAACUAAAGCAGUAGCAAUAUAACAGAAUUUUUCCUCUGAGUGUUUUUACACAUAAGAAAUUAAAAACCCAACAUACGGUACAUAUAUCACAGCCACCAAUCAUAAACAAAUUUAAAUAUACGAGACUCACCAAGAUGCAAUGCAACAAUCGCAAUUUAAAGUGGUAAAACCAGUACUAGGAGGCUCUAACAUAACAAAACCUGUAAAAUUGAAUACCUUAUCUUUAUAUGAGUUCCAGCAUACAAAUUCCAGUUCUACCAUGACCCAUUAAUAAAUAAAAGUUCCUCAAAUUAUAAAGAAAAGGGUUGACUGCAACUAGUACAUAAAAGCUCCAAUUGCAAACAAAGAGAAAGCACCAGAUAAAUAACAGUCAUUAAGCGAAAUGGAAAAAGAAUAACAUAUUUAAGGAUUUGAUACCAAUUUUAUUCAAUGUUCAGUAAAAGGGCAGGUGGAAAGGGAGAAGGUAGGCAGGGAAAAGACUUUCAAAACUAGAACCACACCUUAUUCUUGAACACCUGAAUUCAACAUGACCCAUUUUAGAAUGGUGUUGCCAAACCAUUUUAGCUAAAGCUUGUUAUAUAUAACAUAACUUUAUGUAUAAUCCUAAAAACCAUGAGGAAAAAUGCUUUGAAGUACUCUUAUAAGCUCGAAGUCAAAGGUCAUAAUGCAUAAAUAGGAUUUCUCUAUACAUGGAGACUUCGGU
rnacentral:lncRNA from 1 species